GGAGGUGCCUCUCUGGGCCGCACCUGGCCGAGCCGGCUGAUCCGCUGGCGAACCAAGUAGAUAUUGGACGCCAUGCUGCGUGCGCCGCGCCCCCUUCCCUGAUGUCCAGCCCCCCGGCGCUCCGUCUCCUCCCGCGCAUGUGCGCGCCCACCCCCGCACCUGCGCAGCACGGUCCGCCGCCGCGCGCGAAGUCUACGCUGUGGGGGUAGUCUCGCGCCCACUGCUCCGGCGGCGGCUUUCUUCCAGCCGCUUCCGUUCACAGUUCUCAAUUUGUAGAUGGACUUACAAAAUAUUGUUAUAGAUGAAGCCACGUUUCAACGAUGGUGUUAGGGGUCUUUUACUAAAACGGUGGAAAGUUGUUGCAGAACAACUCGGAAGCAUGAUUCAUCACACAUUCUUACAGAAAUUGAGUUUAUUGCGACAAUUAUCGCUGGAGUCAGGGUUGAAGGAUAUAUAUCGAAUAGAAAAAGGCUUGGCCGGACAGCCUCCUCCUGACUCACCUACCCACCGCCUACCCUAUUGGGCAUGUGCUCAGCUUGGGGGGGCUCUAGGUGUUUUUCUACAGAAGGCUAAUUCCUGCUCCGUUUUCAAGAUUCGGCUCAGGUGACGGUUACCCCUUGGCACCCAGUCAUUGGAGUCCCUAAGUUGUGAUCUCCUUGGAGGCUUCCCCAAUAUCUUGAAGUUCUUGGAGAGCUGGAAUGGUGGCCUGUUGCCGUAUAUGGUUUGAGGUGGCAGAUGGGGCAGAUGGCUUAGUUUCUGCUGAUCCUGACAAUUGCCAACUUCUAAGGACACUCCCUCUUCCCUUCCUCUUUGGCUUCGGCCGGCCGUUGGAAGUAGGAAGGGAGAAAAGGAGUACGAGUUGAGAGAGGAGGCAAGAGAAAAGGCGGGCAGGAUGACGGGAAAGAAUGGCCACUAGAUCAUCUGAGAAAUAGAAUAAAACACUCUACAGGAAAGUCAUGGUGUAACUAUGAAGCAAGCUGGAUUUUGAACAGUUGGUGUAAAACAAAGUGAUGGACUCUCAGAAUUAAAUGCGUUUGAAUUUGUAAUGAGUAGAGGGUAUAAACAUUUCCCUGUGUCAACUGUGGUUCUUUUACUCCUGAAACUGGAUUGCUGUUUUUAUAGCACAUUAUUCUUUAGAGAUCAGAAUUUCCCCCCAAUAAUUCUUUUGAAGAAUCAUCCAGGGAGUAAACUUAGAUAUAAAGUUUUGUUCUCAUUUUCUCUUUCGGUUUCCCUGUCAAAAAUAUGA